rnacentral:rRNA from 1 species
GAGUUUGAUCAUGGCUCAGAUUGAACGCUGGCGGCAUGCCUUACACAUGCAAGUCGAACGGCAGCAUGAUCUAGCUUGCUAGAUUGAUGGCGAGUGGCGAACGGGUGAGUAAUACAUCGGAACGUGCCCUGUAGUGGGGGAUAACUAGUCGAAAGAUUAGCUAAUACCGCAUACGACCUGAGGGUGAAAGUGGGGGACCGCAAGGCCUCAUGCUAUAGGAGCGGCCGAUGUCUGAUUAGCUAGUUGGUGGGGUAAAGGCCCACCAAGGCGACGAUCAGUAGCUGGUCUGAGAGGACGAUCAGCCACACUGGGACUGAGACACGGCCCAGACUCCUACGGGAGGCAGCAGUGGGGAAUUUUGGACAAUGGGGGCAACCCUGAUCCAGCAAUGCCGCGUGUGUGGAGAAGGCCUUCGGGUUGUAAAGCACUUUUGUCCGGAAAGAAAUCGCACUUACUAAUAUUAGGUGUGGAUGACGGUACCGGAAGAAUAAGGACCGGCUAACUACGUGCCAGCAGCCGCGGUAAUACGUAGGGUCCAAGCGUUAAUCGGAAUUACUGGGCGUAAAGCGUGCGCAGGCGGUUGUGCAAGACCGAUGUGAAAUCCCCGGGCUUAACCUGGGAAUUGCAUUGGUGACUGCACGGCUAGAGUGUGUCAGAGGGGGGUAGAAUUCCACGUGUAGCAGUGAAAUGCGUAGAGAUGUGGAGGAAUACCGAUGGCGAAGGCAGCCCCCUGGGAUAACACUGACGCUCAUGCACGAAAGCGUGGGGAGCAAACAGGAUUAGAUACCCUGGUAGUCCACGCCCUAAACGAUGUCAACUAGUUGUUGGGGAUUCAUUUCCUUAGUAACGUAGCUAACGCGUGAAGUUGACCGCCUGGGGAGUACGGUCGCAAGAUUAAAACUCAAAGGAAUUGACGGGGACCCGCACAAGCGGUGGAUGAUGUGGAUUAAUUCGAUGCAACGCGAAAAACCUUACCUACCCUUGACAUGCCACUAACGAAGCAGAGAUGCAUUAGGUGCUCGAAAGAGAAAGUGGACACAGGUGCUGCAUGGCUGUCGUCAGCUCGUGUCGUGAGAUGUUGGGUUAAGUCCCGCAACGAGCGCAACCCUUGUCUCUAGUUGCUACGAAAGGGCACUCUAGAGAGACUGCCGGUGACAAACCGGAGGAAGGUGGGGAUGACGUCAAGUCCUCAUGGCCCUUAUGGGUAGGGCUUCACACGUCAUACAAUGGUGCAUACAGAGGGUUGCCAAGCCGCGAGGUGGAGCUAAUCCCAGAAAAUGCAUCGUAGUCCGGAUCGUAGUCUGCAACUCGACUACGUGAAGCUGGAAUCGCUAGUAAUCGCGGAUCAGCAUGCCGCGGUGAAUACGU